UACGAAGGGUGCAAGCGUUACUCGGAAUUACUGGGGCGUAAAGCGUGCGUAGGUGGUUCGUUAAGUCUGUCGUGAAAGCCCCGGGCUCAACCUGGGAAUGGCGAUGGAUACUGGCGGGCUAGAGUGCGGUAGAGGAGAGUGGAAUUCCCGGUGUAGCAGUGAAAUGCGUAGAGAUCGGGAGGAACAUCAGUUGCGAAGGCGGCUCUCUGGACCAGCACUGACACUGAGGCACGAAAGCGUGGGGAGCAAACAGG
rnacentral:rRNA from 1 species